GAUGAAGAACGUAGCGAAAUGCGAUAAGUAAUGUGAAUUGCAGAACUCAGUGAAUCAUCGAAUCUUUGAACGCACAUUGCGCCCCCUGGCCUUCCGGGGGGCAUGCCUGUCCGAGCGUCAUUGCUGCCCUCAAGCCCGGCUUGUGUGUUGGGUCUCGUCCCCCUUCCCGGGGGGACGGGCCCGAAAGGCAGCGGCGGCACCGUGUCCGGUCCUCGAGCGUAUGGGGCUUUGUCACCCGCUCUGUAGGCCCGGCCGGCGCUUGCCGAUCAACCAAAACUUUUUUCCAGGUUGACCUCGGAUCAGGUAGGGAUACCCGCUGAACUUAAGCAUAUCAAUAAGCGGAGGA
rnacentral:misc_RNA from 1 species